UACGGGGGGUGCAAGCGUUAUCCGGAUUUACUGGGUUUAAAGGGUGCGUAGGUGGGUUGGGAAGUCAGUGGUGAAAUACUUUCGCUUAACGAAGGAACUGCCAUUGAUACUAUCAAUCUUGAAUGUAGUGGAGGUAGGCGGAAUGCGUCAUGUAGCGGUGAAAUGCUUAGAUAUGACGCAGAACACCAAUUGCGAAGGCAGCUUGCUACACUACUAUUGACACUGAGGCACGAAAGCGUGGGGAUCAAACAGG
rnacentral:rRNA from 1 species